rnacentral:rRNA from 1 species
AACGAACGCUGGCGGCAGGCUUAACACAUGCAAGUCGAACGCAUCCUUCGGGGUGAGUGGCAGACGGGUGAGUAACGCGUGGGAACGUGCCCUUCAGUUCGGGAUAACCCAGGGAAACUUGGGCUAAUACCGGAUACGUGCGAGAGCAGAAAGAUUUAUCGCUGAAGGAUCGGCCCGCGUCUGAUUAGCUAGUUGGUGAGGUAAUGGCUCACCAAGGCGACGAUCAGUAGCUGGUCUGAGAGGAUGAUCAGCCACAUCGGGACUGAGACACGGCCCAAACUCCUACGGGAGGCAGCAGUGGGGAAUAUUGGACAAUGGGCGCAAGCCUGAUCCAGCCAUGCCGCGUGAGUGAUGAAGGCCUUAGGGUUGUAAAGCUCUGUCGCAAGGGAAUAACACAAUGAAUGUACCUUGCAAGAAAGGAUCGGCUAACUUCGUGCCAGCAGCCGCAGUAAUAC